ACAACCCAAGAUUACAACUAUGCCAUGGUGAAAUUGUCAUAAGCUGUGGGAAUUAUUCUGAAAUUCAAAAUAGUACAAGCAAUGUCCUAAUGAAUACAACAAAGCAUACAUGCUGUGGGAACAAGGUUUAUUCCCCCUUGAAACAAACUUGUCUGAAUGGUGUAAUUAAAAAUGCAAAUGGAAGAACAAUUACCCUGGACUUUUUCCUAAAGAGAAUCCUGAAAUCUAAGAGAAAAAAUCUGUUUUUCGUGUACAUUAAUAAUGUAAA